UGGGGAAUUUUGGACAAUGGGGGCAACCCUGAUCCAGCAAUGCCGCGUGUGUGAAGAAGGCCUUCGGGUUGUAAAGCACUUUUGUCCGGGAAGAAAUCGCACCUGAUAAUACCGGGUGUGGAUGACGGUACCGGAAGAAUAAGGACCGGCUAACUACGUGCCAGCAACCGCGGUAAUACGUAGGGUCCAAGCGUUAAUCGGAAUUACUGGGCGUAAAGCGUGCGCAGGCGGUUGUGCAAGACCGAUGUGAAAUCCCCGGGCUUAACCUGGGAAUUGCAUUGGUGACUGCACGGCUAGAGUGUGUCAGAGGGGGGUAGAAUUCCACGUGUAGCAGUGAAAUGCGUAGAGAUGUGGAGGAAUACCGAUGGCGAAGGCAGCCCCCUGGGAUAACACUGACGCUCAUGCACGAAAGCGUGGGGAGCAAACAGG
rnacentral:rRNA from 1 species